rnacentral:rRNA from 1 species
AUUGAACGCUGGCGGCGUGCUUAACACAUGCAAGUCGAUCGGUAACGCGGGGGCAACCCUGGCGACGAGAGGCGGACGGGUGAGGAACGCUUGGGAAUCUGCCUAUCAGCGGGGGACAACACGGGGAAACUCGUGCUAAUACCGCAUACGCUCUACGGAGGAAAGCCAGGGACCGCAAGGCCGGGCACUGAUAGAUGAGCCCAAGCCGGAUUAGUUAGUUGGCGGGGUAACGGCCCACCAAGGAGACGAUCCGUAGCUGGUCUGAGAGGACGAUCAGCCACACUGGGACUGAGACACGGCCCAGACUCCUACGGGAGGCAGCAGUGGGGAAUAUUGGACAAUGGGGGAAACCCUGAUCCAGCGACGCCGCGUGGGUGAAGAAGGCCUGCGGGUUGUAAAGCCCUUUCGGUAGGGACGAAAGCUCUCGACCUAACACGUCGGGAGGUUGACUUAACCUACAAAAGAAGCACCGGCUAACUCUGUGCCAGCCGCCGCAGUAAUAC